GUGCGGCCCUGCGGGUUGAGGCACCUCGGUGAGAGCGGCGGCUCUGUGAGGAACCGCCCAUUCUCCGUCCGGGGAGGGCAACGGUACGAGGAGCUCCGCGUCCCGCCAGCGGCUGUGGAGCGAGAGCCGCAUUGAGGCAGAGCCUCCUUCAUAGAGACCGUAGCUCCGCUGAAGGGGAGCCCGCAAAAUUCUUGUCUUUUUUCAUUCACGGAAAACAAAAACAAACUUGAAUAAGGAGAGCUGAGGCAGGGUUUAGGAAGCCAUCUCCGCGCAUCCCGUUGGUGACCGCACACCUCACGAGCUCUGAGGAGAUCUGGUCAGCGCCAUCACCGCUAGUGAGUCGGUCCUGACACGUGUCCGUUCCCAGCCUUUCGCAAAUUACAUGACAGAAUAGACCAAAUAAUGACUACUCACAGAGCAGAUGAUGAAUUACCUCCAAGUCAUUAAGUCCUUGCAGGAAAAAUAGAAGUGUUUGAGAAUGAACUCACUACUUCUGUGUUUCACAUGAAGAGGCAGUAGUUGGGGGAGCUGUAGAAUGAACUUGAAAACGUUCUUAAGAGAGCACAGGCAGAAGAAAUCUCAUGUGUAUUUCAGGAUGUAUGCAAAAUGUCCUGCACAAUGAAAUGUGAAAGAAGAAGGGAGAAGCAGGGAAGUCAGAUGAGAACAUGGUGCCACAGCAGCUGUGUCUGCCAGUAUGUAAGAAGCCACUUGUUCAGUGCACUCUGCAAAGCAAAAAUGGAAACAAGCUAUUACUUUGUUUUGUGUUUACAUCCUGACAUUUCUAAACAGAAGAAGAAUGUAGAACACUUGUGGAAGAGAUGCUUUUCUCUUAAAUUUGCAAGAAAUAACAAAUGAGAAGUUUGAUUAUGAUGAAUUUGAUUGGGUAAUCAUACAUUAUACGAGAAACAGUCUGAACAAAUAAACAUCUCCAGAGAGUUGGACAUUGUACCUAGUAAAAUCCUAUAAACAAAAUACUUUCCUGAAGAAAGAAAUGUCACAAACAUUUCAGUACCACUUGGACUACUGGUGGACUAUAUUAGAUAAAUCAUCAAGAGUACAAUGAACAGAGAAGCAACUAGUGAAAAAAAUGACUUCUCUUUCCUGGGCUGUCAUUGCUGAAGUCAUUGCUUUAUUUAAUUAAAAAAAAAAAAAAAAGACUGAUAAUAGAAAGACGCUUCAUCACAGAUAAGGUGUGCCUACAGCUACAGUCCUUGAGCCUACUGCAUCCAGGAUCAGUGCCCAGCAUUGAGGAAGGCAGCCUUCUAUAAGUCAUGGCUCGACGGUUGACCACCAUCAACAAAAGUUGUGAGUGGUUCCCACUGAUCUGUCAUUUCCUUCUUCUCAUAAGGGAAGGCUAUUGAUUUCUUUUCUUUACAAAUUGAACCUUGUACUGAGU